rnacentral:rRNA from 1 species
AUGAACGUUGGCGGCGUGGAUUAGGCAUGCAAGUCGAGCGGUAGGGAAUCACUCACCCAACCCCCGGUGAAACCGGGGGCUGAUAGCGUUGUUAGAUGCGCGUCGGCCCCCGGCUCUGCCGGGGGUCAGGUGAGUGAUUCCUGAGAGCGGCGAAAGGGAGAGUAACGCGUAGUUACGUACCCCGAGGACCGGAAUAGCCACGGGAAACUGUGGGUAAUGCCGGAUAAUAUCUUCGGAUCAAAGGUGUGAUUCCGCCCUGGGAGCGGACUGCGUUGUACUAGCUAGUUGGUAGGGUAAUGGCCUACCAAGGCAAUGAUGCAUAGCGGGUGUGAGAGCAUGACCCGUCUCACUGGGACUGAGACACUGCCCAGACACCUACGGGUGGCUGCAGUCGAGAAUCUUCGGCAAUGGGCGAAAGCCUGACCGAGCGACGCCGCGUGUGGGAUGAAGGCCUUCGGG